rnacentral:lncRNA from 1 species
CGGCAGUCCAUAAAGACCUGGCAGGAGGGAAGAGCAGGUUGCCAUGGAAUGAAGGAACCAUGGUGGGGAUUGAGACCAAGAGCGAUGAUUAUGAAUGGCAAGUGGCAAGAAACAGGGUGGAGAAAAACGUCACCAGUGAAGACAGAAAUGUGUCUGAGAGAGGAUGAGGCCCAGAUUCCCUAGGUCCUGGCCUGGCUGACCAGCCCAGUAGCAUCUCUCUUAAUUGGAUGGUGAUCCCCCAAAAGAUAUGUCCACACCUAACAACUGGACCCUCUGAAUGUGACCUCAUUUGGAAAAAGGGUCUUUGCAGAUGCCAUUAAGUUAAAGAUCUUGUGAUGAGGAGAUCAUCCUAGAUUACCCAGGCCUAUCAGCAUCCCCUUGGACACUCCACAUCCCAUGAACCACAUCCAAAAGCAAUGGUCCUUGGUGUGCCACUUCCUGUUGAAGCUGCCUGUCUACCAGAAUUAGCC